UGAUAGCUGUGAAGCGCGAGGUUGCUGCCACGAUGGCAGGUUUUCCGUGGAGCGAAUGUCAAGUUAGGAAACUGACGACAA
rnacentral:ncRNA from 1 species